GGGAGCGAGUUUGGGGGUCGUGGUGGAGGGGUUUUAUGGCUAGCGCCGGGGCGAGGGCUGUCUGGGAGCAGUUCCCCUUGGCUGGGCAAAGGGAGCGGGUUACAUGUCACCACGAUGCUAGACCGGGCAGGGCAGUUGCAGCCUGUGUUAUGUCUGCGUGUCUCGUCCUGUGUGUCUUAGCCCUUCCUUGGGUCUCAACGCCCUCUUGGCGCUCGAGGGGCAUGGCAUGCUUCUCGGGCGCCGUCCCUAGGCUCUCGAACGCCGGUACUUGUCAGCGUACCGCCAAUCGGGCGCUUCUUUUCUCGCAUAGCGAGAUUACGGCGUGGAUCAUUCUUGCGUGUCGGAAGUUUCUGGAGGGUCCUCUAUUUGCAGCGCUAUACCAGGCUGCGUUCGGAGCUCUGCUCUCCAGCUAUCCGUUUUCAGGGACUGGGUCUUCCUCCCUGCAUCCUUACCUCCUUAGGUCUUGAAGACGGGCUUCUUGCUGCCCCCAUCAUCUCGGUUUUGACAGUAACUUCUUAUAACGGGCCAUUUACGGUCAAUUCUCUUCUGGGGUUGCCAUAGAGCUUCCUCACCUGGGUGUCGUGCCCUAUAGGUCGCCUUGCUCGGCAGCCUCUCCGGUCCGGGAGUCAUUCCUCUCGCUAAGAGUGUUCUCUCGUUUGUGAGUUGCGUUGUUUGUAGCGUUCUGUGUAGCGUCUGUCUCUGUGUGUGGUGUGUGUGUGUGGAGCUGCUCUGCCCAGGGCUGUCGAGUCGGGGAUAGGCGGAAUAGCAAUAGGAGCGUACGGUUAGCGUGCCGAUACGGCCAGUCCGGAAUUGUUUGGCUCUCACUCGGCAUCUGGGUGACUUGUUUGAUAACUCGGUGUGAUUUUUCCAGAUGCGGACUGGCUAGAUGCCCACCGACGAGCGGCAGAGGAGGAGAGCAGAGCGCCGUAAGAAGGUGGCGGUCAGGCCUCGGCACGGCAGGCCGAAGAAUCCGACUCCGAGCGGCCGAGGAAAAGGGACAGGCGAGAGGAAGGCGUUUCCAAGGAGGGCUUCGUCGCAGCGGAGGUCGACGCCGGGCGGCACGUCGGCGACCGGCGACGCUCUGUCUCGUGAGGGAUGAAGCGGAACCUGGGGGAUGGGGGAGCGUCCCGGUUAGAUGACCUUUUCCCCAUGAGAAGGGAAUCUGGAUUCUGCCCUCUGAAAGCGUUGCAGCGUCAUUUCCGUGAUCUGUGCUUUUUCAUGUGUAUGGCGCCUUACGGCAGGUCUCUAGGUUCUGCCGCACGCGCUCGGCGAGCAUCCGCGGGGUCCGCGACGCCUCGUCGCUUCGGAAUACGGCCCGUCGAGCGUUUCUCGUCUCGCGAUCGGAGCUUAAAGCGCACCUCGCAUCGCAGAUGUUUCUGCGAGGUGGCCUUUGCGGAGGUGGUCCGUGCCGGACUCACAGUCGUGCUCUAGAAACUUCUGCCUCAAUUGAAGUUUGAUACCAUCUUUCAUCCCUGUAUGCUGUGGGAUGCCGGACUAGUCUAGUCUUGUUGGUGCCGAAUACAGGGCCAUUUUGACCCAGCAGAAGGGGCCUGGGGGAGUCCAGCUUGGGCGAGAGCAGGGAUUGAGCAACUUGCUUAUCUUGCACUGAUAAGCACCGGACCUGAACAGGGGCAGGAGAUGAGCAAUUUGUUCAUCUUAACAAGAUGCGGCGUCUGACGGGUCUACUCCUUAAUCAACUAAGUGACGCCUGGGGUGAGGGGGAGCCUCCUUCGCAGCUCGACCUUACUUUGGUAAAACUAAACAGACC